CUUUUGUUAUAUUCAGAGCAUCUUCUUGCGUCAAGUUCUUUUCCUUUAGCUCUGUUUCUGUUUGUGCUCAAACGCAAUGGCUCAAGGGCCAAGAUAAUUUUAUGACCAUCAAUCUUUUUGCAGCCACAGCAGACUUGAAAAAAUGAUUGUGGCCCUAAGGAACUUGAAAAUUAGAAAAGAUUCAGAAUGAGUGACUAAAUAUUAUAAUUGAAACUAACUAAACAUUAUAAUCGAAACUAAUUAAACGCCUAGAAAAUCUGAAACUGAGCAAUUGCUUCUGGUGGAAACUUUACUGCAAGGACUUUCUCAAACCCUUGAAGAUCACACUCUACCUG
rnacentral:lncRNA from 1 species